AUUACAGUCAAAUUUUUUUAUCACAAUGUUUGAGUCACAGCUAAUGAAAACUGUUUACCUGGAGACAUAUUCUUUUCAAAUGACCCACUCUCAUCAUAAUCCUCAGAUGCCAAUGCAUUAGACAGCAACAAUAUUUAUCGCAGCGUACUAUAAAGGACGUUCAUUUUUCCAAAAGUAGCCUGGAAUUCUAAACGAGAGGAGCCUUCCGUCAUAAAUGGCACAGGGAACAACUCCAAACAAGUCUUAAUACUUGCAGAUCUUACGGCUGCAGCCUGGAGAUCAUUUCCAUCUGGUAAAUGCUGGAAUGUUCCUCUCGAGUCCUGAAGACGGAUAACCAGCUUUCGCACAUUGGGGAGGUGAAAGAAGAAAUGAAGAAUAACUUAACCUUGAUGCCCUGAUGUAUUAAGAGAAGGGUGAAAUUAGAAUUCCUUCCAAAAUUAAAACUCUUUCUUCUACUGCAGAGGAAGGUGAAGUGGAGAAGAAGGAGUGCAGAAGGAAAGAUAAAGAAAAUGGGAUGUUUCAAAGACGAUAGGAAUUACGUGAUUAUUUUAUGGUAAAAGUG
rnacentral:lncRNA from 1 species